GAGGGGUGGUUAUUUUAUGACAGAGUCAGGAGGGGGUGAAUGCUUUAACAAAAGCAAUUUAGAGCAAGGAUGGUUACUUCAUAAGUUGAAGAAGUUAUGAAAUAUGUCCUUUGUAAUCAUUGGUUCCCUGUUGUUUGUCUUUGUUCUCCAGUUCAUGAAUGACAUGAUCAUUAAAUGAUUGGUGUUAACAGUUGCAUCAUAAUUGGUUAUUUUAAAAGUUAGCAAGUUGUAAAGAGAUUUUGAUGCUAUGCUGUACUUAUGUAAGAUAUCAUUUCGUAUGCUACCUGUGGACACAUACUGGCGUUUGACUGAGGAUGUGGUCUUUCCUUGUUAUGUAUUUGCUGUGGUCUUUGGUUUUAUAUUACUGGCUGUUUGUGUUCUUGAAGAAUGGAGGUUCUUGUAACGACGGACAUGGUCCAUCAAGAAGUGCAUUUUUGUCAACUUCAAACCGCCAUAAAAAAGGAAAGAUAUAACCGAUUUAAAAAAUUUUUCGCAUAUAUGCUGGCCAUCAUACAUAGAUUCGAUAUAACCAAUAAAAAAUUUUGCCUGG